GCAGCAGCUGAUAAGACAUUUUUUAUUGCCGUGCUUGUAUGUUGCAACUUCCAAUUCAAUAAAUAAUUUACAAUUCCCAUUUUCUGCUUUAUGUUUGUUGUUGCUGUUGGUUGUUGUUGAGCAAGAUAAAUAAAAUGUGUAUAAUGGGGAAUAUAGCAACAAUGAUGCAUAUAACUUUUCUUUGCGCAGAUGUAUCAAAAGUGCAACCAAGCCAUAUGAAGACCCAUUCACAAUAACGAAAUUUUAGUUUGGUGUUUGUUGUUCACAUUAUUAAAAUAACGAAUAGAACCAAUUACUAAAUCAUAACGAAUAAACAAGGCAAGUGAAUG